CCAGUUUGAUUCUGACUGUAAAAUUAACACCGACCAACCAAUAUACAUGUAAAAUAUUUUAUGCCCGCACUAAUAAAACACCUAAAUGAUAUAUAAUUGUAUUCAGGUAUUCUCAAUACAACAGAGCGCCACAGUAAAUAACACUUUUCAAUUUGAGAAAUUAAGAAAAGGGUAUGGUAUAAGGGCUGGCAAAAUUCGUGCCAGCUGCCGCGGUUAGACGAAAAGCCCAAGUUAAUACAAUAUAAACUAAAUUAAUGAUAAAAUAAAAAAUAACAAAGGUCUAAUUUUCAAAAUCUAUGCUCCACGCUUAUCACAUAAAAAUGAAAUCAUGAACUAAAACAUGGAUUAGAUACCCACCUAUUCAUGACAUAAACUAUAGCUGAAUAUUACGAACAACAGUUUAAAAUUCAAAGAUUUUGGCGGUGUCUUAUAAAACCAGGGGAACCUGUCUCAUAACUCGAUAAUCCACGAACACCAAACCCUCUCUAGAAUUCCAGCAUGUGUACUGCCGUUGUAAGCAUACCCUUAAAAGAAUAAGUGUGCUACUAUGACCCCAAAAGACUCAUAUACAUCAGGUCAAAGUGCAGCCAAUAAGAGGGUGAUGAUGGGUUACAACCCUAAAAUAGACUAUCAAAUAAGAAAUUAAAAAUCUUACGAAAGUGGACUUGGUCGUAAUCAACUUAUAUAAUAAAAAAAUGAAUAUAAAUCUAAGACAUGCACACAUCGCCCGUCACUCUAUCCAAAAGGUUAGAUAAGUCGUAACAAAGUAGGUGUAAUGGAAAUUGCACCUGU
rnacentral:rRNA from 1 species